GGAAGUGGAGGCUCAGUGGUUAAGACGUUGGGUUACUGAUCGGAAGGUCGUGAGUUCAAACCUCAGCACUGCCA